AAAGGCCAUACGUAGCCCGACAUUAAAAGCCAUACAUACAAACAAUAUAAAGAAGAUAAAAUAGAAGAGGUGCAAAAUCGGAAUAAAUUUAGUGUACAUCAAAAAGCUAUACGUACAAACAAUUCAUAGAAGCUGCACUAAAAAUGAUUUUACAGUCGAUAAGUUGCAAAAACGCAAACUCCAUAAUAGGCAUGAGUUGUUGGCCUCGCCUCGCAUACAUUUUCCUGCAAAACAUUCAAAACAACACAUAAAUUGUGCAUUUCUAAAUAAUUAAUUUUCAUUAAGAGUUACUACUAUAUUUACUUGCUGUGUUUUGCCAUUCUUUUUUUUUUAUUAUGUGGUCUAUCUUCAUUUAAUGUAUAAAAGUUCAAAAGCUAAUAUAUAUCAUUUCAGUUUUUUUGUCACGUCUCAUCGCAAAUAUAAGUGCCAUUUGCAAUUAACAUACAUGUCCCUUACAUGCUAGGUAAAUAUCUCAAAUUCAACGGAGGGUCUCUUAUUUGGCGAUGGCGAAUUAGACAUCGCCGGUGUUUGUGAAAGUGAAGCUAAAAAGAAUUACUUCGUAGAAAUGAGAAUUACUAAUUACUAUAAGGUUCAACGAACAAGAAAAUAGGGCUAGAAGAAAAUACUUCACAUGAAAGAAAAUCUCUUAACACUGUAAGACCCAACUGAGAAGAAAAUCAAGGCUAGAAAAUACAGCUAGAAGACUACAUGGAACUGAAAAAAUCCUACAGGAAAGGAAGUGUGAAGUAUGCAAGAUUUUUACGGUAGAGGAUAAGACAAGUGAUGAGAUGCAAUUCAUUCUCUCAGUAUAAUUCUCAUGCUUCUUAAAGAUAAAGCCUAGAAAUAACUCAGCAAUCGAGGUGGAUUAGAUAAGUGAUGAGCUGCAGUUGAUUCUCCCGGUUAGGAGUACAAAGGAAACCGACAAACCGUACCAACCUGAUUAUUCGAGUCAAAUCGAGAAAAAAAAUCCGACUAUGGUUUGGUUUGAUUUGGUUUGGUGUUGAAAAAACCCCCCCGAUCAUAAUUGGUUUCGUUUGGUUUUAAGUAAAAAAAAUCUAACCGAAACCAAACCAACCCGACAUUAUAUAUAUAGAAAUUUUAGAUAUAUUUAAUAUAUAAAUAUACUUAUUGUGAUGUAAUUUAUAAAUAAUUCUUACAAAAUUUCAUAAUUUUAUUUUUUAAGGUAUUAUUUUCAGGUUAGAUUUAAAACUUUUGAAUGUUCCAAUAAAUUUUAUAGCCAUUAAUAUUAAGAAAUUAAAUAAUGCUAACAAAAACACAAACCAAAAUCACAUCAAUACUAAUGCUAACAAAAGACAUUCAAUUCAAUACUACGAAACGGAAUGUAUUUAAUAUCUAUUUUUUAUUUUGCAAUAAUUUAGAUAAAAAUGCAUAACCUAUUUUUAUUUAAUCUUUAGCGUUUAGUCAUGUAAUUAAUACUCCCUUAUUAGUCUACUUAUUUUAGCAUGACUUAGUACUUUUAGAUUAUUUUUAUUAUGGCUUUUUAAUUAGCAAUAUUUAUAUUACAUAAUUUUAUUGUCUUUAUUGUUGAAUAUUUUAGGAUAAUGCCAUGACAAAUCUCAUAUUUUGUAUUAUUUUCGUGGAAAAUACUUUAUAUAGUUGUAUCUUAAUAGGAUUAAAGAAAUAUUUGAGCACAAGUUAUAUGUUUUGUUCUACGAAGAUUUUACCGAAAACAAAACCCGAAAAAUCCGAAUAAUCCGAAAACCCGAGAAAAACCGAGAUUGAAAAACCCGAGUUUUAUUGGUUUAGUUUGGUCUUUAGAUUUAAUAAUCCGAUACAAUUGGUUUAGUUUGGUGAUUGUAAAAUCUGAACCAACCCGACCUAUAUACACCCCUAACCCCGGUAUAAUUCUCAUACUUCUUAAAGAUAAACCUUGCAAAAAACUCAACAAUCGAGGUGGACGAAGUUGAGCAUAUAUGAUAUAUGCCUUUUAGAUUUAUAAAAAUAAAUAAUAGCGUAAAAAAGUCAGAUUGCCAUAUAAGCCAAGAAAGUUCGCAAGCAAUCCAUUUAUUUUGUGAUGUGCUAUGGUUGGAACUUAUAUCAUUCAAUCUGAAUCUGAUCAAAUUACAAAAGUCCAAGAAUACAGAGCAAGAAAAGUUGAUGAAACUUAAAAGUGCUAGAGUCCAAGCAAAUCACAUAAUGGAAAUAAAUGAUAAUUAAUCUUCACCAAGUCAUAUCGACUGCAUUAAUCAACCAACAAAGUCUUACUGUAUCAGAAUAUUAUAAGUUAUCAACUGCAAUCAAGAUAAAGACUGCACAACUUUUUUUUCUUUCUAAAUGAACCAAUUAGCUCUUUGCAGAGAAAAUAAUCCUAUUGGCAGGAACUUUACUGGUCCUUCAAUUGUUGCUCUUGAAGUAUUUUCUCCGAUACUACUUCCACAAGCAUCACAAGGUCUACAUUAAAUAGUGCAUCCAAACAAUCAAUAAUAACAAUUAGUGACACAAAAAGUGCAAAAUAGGCAUAGAUGACUUCAAAAUUAGCAUGUUAAGUUUUUCCACCAAGUUUCUACUAUUUGUAUCUGAAUAGCUUCAAGGAAAAGAUGUGCUUUAGUAAAACAUCUGUUGAACUCCAAGUAUAUAUCAUUUUGUCUACAAAUACUAAUGAACAACUUUUAUUCCAAAGUAAAUUUCAAAGGUAGAAUUACCAUAAAACUUUAAUGUUAUAUCCAUCUCUUGAGUAUUUAUAAACUGCAUUCUAUUCUCUUGAUUCGUAUAUCAUAAUAAAUAACUUCUUUUAGAAUUUGAACUCUAAGGUUGCGAGGGAAUAUCUCCUCUAACUUCAAAAAAGCUAAACUCCACAAGAUCUGGGAGAAGUUUAGCAGAUAAUAAUUGAUCUGAUCCAUUGUUAACAAAAGAUAACAAAGAAGUUCAGAAUCUUAAAGUGGCGACUCUACGUGGUAAAUAUAGGCUCGCAAGGAAUGCAGCCAGCCUAAGGCACUGUAUCCAUCAUUUGUGUUUUCUUUGAAGGUUUAUUACUUUAUUUUUGCUGAAUCAAGCACCUUAAUAAUGGUUCCGAUAUUAAUAUUCUCCUAUUCCGCUAUACUCUUUUGGUCAUACAUCUACAAAUUUAAUGAGAGCUUCUAUGGUGUCAUGCCGAGAACUACUUAGAUAUUCUAAUUUAAGUGGUUUGACCAGGUAGAUAUUUGAUUUCUCAUUGGCUCUCCAUUGCUCUUUCUUUUGAUAAAUUCUUGGGAAGGCACUAUUGCAGUGGACGUUAUUCUCUCUGGUUGCUUUUUGUUCGAACAAUCAUGUUUUAAUGUUAUCUUGAUUUGUUUAAAGCUUGUAGAAAAUCCUGCAAUUGAUUACUCUUUGCAUCUUCUAGUAGCUCAAUGAGACUUUUGUUUCCACCUACUCGAGCUUCAUUAAGUGGAUAUUUUUCACCUGCAAAGAUAAGAUGAUCAGGUACUACUUUGAGUUGUCAAAAAAUAAUUGUUUAACAAUUAUCAACCUCUCUUUACCGGCAUUAGGAAAAUAAUCACAUAUGACCAUGCAAGUCCUAAUAAUACAACGAUAAGUAGAAGAAUACUUUACUGCAUAGGCUUCUCAAUUCUGCAACAUAAAAAUAUUUUACAUAUAGAGCUGAAGCUGCAAACUUUAGUAAAGGAUCAUACAGCUCUUAUCAUGCUUGUAAUUCAAGGUGAACUCAUUAUCACCUUGGAUAAACACUCCACAAAAUUUAAUUUGUUACUCUUUAUAAUUUCCUUGUCAUUUAUGUUUCCGCUGACUUCAUAUCUAUGUUGAUGUGUUACCGAACUAAUAAUAACUUUAGAUAUUCUUUUUCACAAUGAUAUAGGAACAAUCUUGUAUUUUCUUCAGUUUAAGUUAUUUAAAACUCUCUAAGCUUGUUUAUUAAAUAAGAGAGCGAGGUUGUUAUCAACUUGACGUUUUUCCCUAUAAAACUCGGGGAAGUUUCUUUACCUUUUCAAUUAAGGUGAAUCAAUUCUAAAUGCCGAUUUUUAACAGCAAACUACAUGAAAGAAAGACUAACACAUUUUAAAUAAACAGCAACGUCACAUCAGGUUCUUGCUACACAUUUGUUUUCACAAAUUAUAUCAAGUUUUUAGCCAUCAUAUUGGAAGAAUAUACUAUUUUUUAAAAGGUAAUAUGCAUUCCUUAGUGUAAAAGUCUUACUCACCGAAGUCGAAAAAUGCUGAGUAGACAC
rnacentral:lncRNA from 1 species